CCUACGGGCGGCAGCAGUGGGGAAUAUUGCACAAUGGGGGAAACCCUGAUGCAGCAACGCCGCGUGAGUGAAGACGUAUUUCGGUAUGUAAAGCUCUAUCAGCAGGGAAGAAGAUGACGGUACCUGCGUAAGAAGCCCCGGCUAACUACGUGCAAGCAGCCGCGGUAAUACGUAGGGGGCCAGCGUUAUCCGGAUUUACUGGGGGUAAAGGGAGCGCAGACGGUGAGACAAGUCUGAAGUGAAAGCCCGGGGCUCAACCCCGGGACUGCUUUGGAAACUGCCUGACUGGAGUGCAGGAGAGGCAAGCGGAAUUCGUAGUGUAGCGGUGAAAUGCGUAGAUAUUAGGAAGAACACCAGUGGCGAAGGCGGCUUGCUGGACAGUAACUGACGUUGAGGCUCGAAAGCGUGGGGAGCAAACAGGAUUAGAUACCCUAGUAGUC
rnacentral:rRNA from 1 species